rnacentral:rRNA from 1 species
UGGGCAACCUGCCCUCAGCUCUGGGAUAACUCCAAGAAAUUGGGGCUAAUACCGGAUAUGACUGCUGACCGCAUGGUCUGGUGGUGGAAAGAUUUAUCGGCUGGGGAUGAGCUCGCGGCCUAUCAGCUAGUUGGUGUAGGUAACGGCCCACCAAGGCGACGACGGGUAGCCGGCCUGAGAGGGCGUCCGGCCACACUGGGACUGAGACACGGCCCAGACUCCUACGGGA